rnacentral:rRNA from 1 species
GAGUCCGGCCUGCCCAGUGCCUUUUUAGGUAAACGGCCGCAGCUAAAACUGUGAUAAUGUAGCGCGAUAAAUUGUCCUUUAAUUGGGGGAGAGUACGAACGGUUAGACGCGAUUGGAGCUGUGUCGGGGGCAAAGCAUGAAAUUUCCUUCUUGGUGAAAAGGCCAAGAUCUCCGUAAUAGACGAGAAGACCCCGUCGAGCUUAGUUAGGUGCGUGCGAUAGACGGCUUCUAAUGAAGGGGCCGAACCUCCUCAAAUCCGGGGAGUAAGUAGGCCUAAGGUCACAGGGCUUAUGGGCGGUGGUUGAGCUUUGUGGGUUCAGCCCCCCUGUAGGGUAAUAUGUGUGUGUUACGCUGUGUGAGUGGUGUAACGUAAUUUUCAGGGGGUGGCAGUGCAUCCGUCGGCAUGCUGUGGACUCCUAGUUAGGGCUUUAGUUGGUUCUGUGGGAUUAGCUAAGGUUCAACGGUCCGUGGUAGUUGCUGAGUUUAAUUUAAGGUUUGUGCUAGUGUUAGGUUUGGGUAGUACCAGACUUGCUAGUGCGUUGACCGAUGCCCUGGCCUGCCCACUGUACGAGGUGGGCGAAUGGGUCUUGAUUGACUCCAGUCGUUGCAUGUGGUGAUGUUUUGUUGGGGCAACACGAAGCUAGAAAGAAUGCUUCGGAGUUAUGUAGGUAGAUCCAGUCUGACUGAUAAUCCGCAAAAGUUACCGCGGGGAUAACAGCGUAAUCCCUCUGUGGAGCCCAUAUCUAUGGAGGGGCUUGCGACCUCGAUGUUGAAUCAGGAUUCCUACGUGCUGCAGCAGGUACGUAAGUAGG